AAUUCCUUGUAGAAGAAGCAGGCCGUGUGCAUUACUAACUCAUCUGUGUUUUCGCGCCUUAUGAGGCUGGAAUGAUGAGUUAGUUCUUCAUGUGCCCGUCUUCUCCAUCGUGAUCAC
rnacentral:pre_miRNA from 1 species